rnacentral:tRNA from 2 species
AGAGGGGUGCCUGAGUGGUUGAAAGGGCCCGCCUGGAAAGCUGGUAUAGGUGCAAGCCUAUCGAGGGUUCGAAUCCCUUCCCCUCUGCAA